UACAGAGGGUGCGAGCGUUAAUCGGAAUUACUGGGCGUAAAGCGUGCGUAGACGGUCAUGUAAGUCGGGUGUGAAAUCCCCGGGCUCAACCUGGGAAUUGCAUUCGAGACUGCGUGGCUAGGGUGCGGAAGAGGGAAGCGGAAUUUCCGGUGUAGCGGUGAAAUGCGUAGAUAUCGGAAGGAACAUCAGUGGCGAAAGCGGCUUCCUGGUCCAGCACCGACGCUGAGGUGCGAAAGCGUGGGGAGCAAACAGG
rnacentral:rRNA from 1 species